rnacentral:lncRNA from 1 species
GUUUUGCUCUGUGGAUAAUGAGUUUUACUUGGCAUAUUAAUUUAUGUCACUUCAUUUCAACUUAACAAUUUUUUAUUUUAUUGAGAUACAUUCUUUCUACUUUUAUAUUUGUUUUUUAAAUUUUCUCUAGUUGAAAUGUUUGGUUUUUCUUUCUCCCCCCUUCCUUCUUUACCAAUCGUAAGCUUUAUUGUUAGUUUUACCCUUGUUCAACACAGGAGAUUGCAAGUUCCCUUUUCCCCUGCUCUGUACUUUCUCUGGCUCCCCACUGUUUUAGAGUUAACUCACUUGGCUUAUGAAUCUCAAGCCCCAUGCUGUAUAACUUUAGGCUCUGAACUCUCCAUUCUUUAAUAUGUAUAGCUGGUAUAUUUGGGGCAGAAGCCAUAAGAAGCAUGCUGUGAACCCAAAGAGACUGAUGAGAAAAUUCAUACCAGAGGAGGGACUUUCUAUACAAAUACCCUUGGCCUUGAC